rnacentral:misc_RNA from 1 species
UCCGGCUUAUCACCGGCAGUUUCUUUAGAGUGCUCAACUAAAUGGUAGCAACUAAAGAUGAGGGUUGCGCUCGUUGCGGGACUUAACCCAACAUCUCACGACACGAGCUGACGACAGCCAUGCAACACCUGUGUGUUAGCCAGCCAAACUGAAGGGAUACGUUUCUGCAUCCCAAACUAACCAUGUCAAGGCCUGGUAAGGUUCUUCGCGUUGCCUCGAAUUAAACCACAUGCUCCACCGCUUGUGCGGGUCCCCGUCAAUUUCUUUGAGUUUUAAUCUUGCGACCGUACUCCCCAGGCGGAGUGCUUAAUGCGUUAGCGGCGCCACUGAUCCCUAAGGGACCAACAGCUAGCACUCAUCGUUUACAGCGUGGACUAC